rnacentral:lncRNA from 1 species
AGUGCCAAUUAGUGGGAUCCAUUGAGAAGGAUACAGAAUAAGUACUGUGAUAACUGAUAUAGGAAAAUGGAAACACCAAUGGUUAUGGCCAUAUGCCAGUGGCAGAUACAGGUAGGGAUGAAAGUGGUAAUCCGAACUGUUAGGACAAAUUUAAUAUUUUAAAAUAGAUAUGUAUAAAAUUUGAUGUUGAUCUUUUCCUAUGUUAUCAAGCACAUUAGUACAAAUAUGAAUAAAAUAUUACAUAAAUUGUUUUAAGUGUUAUUUGGUCCCUACAACACAAAUAGUUGAAAAAAUUAUCGAAUUUGUUUCCGAAUCCAUACCGAAGUUUAUAUCUAUUAUUUAAGAAAAUAUAGCAUAAAUUUAAGGUUUAUCAUCUAUGAAUCUUUACAAGCUGGAUGUUAGAAACAAGAAUACAAAUUUGUAUGGUAGAUUCUAUAUUCUAUUUAUUCGCAAUCAAAGAAAAAACUGAUUACCGAAUAAAUACCGUUUCCGACCGUUUUCAUCCCUAGAUACAGGAUUUCAAUCAUGGGGCAUAGACCUAAACGAUGCAAUUCACUCAAAAUGUAAUAUGACGACUGAAUGACAUUAAAUAGUUAGGUGUGCGGAUAUAAGGAUACAAUUCACCAACAUUU